AAUGAACGCUGGCGGCGUGCCUAACACAUGCAAGUCGUGCGCGAAAGGGGCUUCGGCCCCGAGUAGAGCGGCAGACGGGUGAGUAACACGUGGGUAACCUGCCCAGAAGUGGGGGAUAACCUGGGGGAAACUCGGGCUAAUACCGCAUACGUUCGCGGGGUUCUGCUCCGCGAGGAAAGCCGGCCUAUGCUUGCAAGCUGGCGCUUUUGGAGGGGCCCGCGGCUGAUUAGCUUGUUGGUGGGGUAAUGGCCUACCAAGGCGACGAUCAGUAGCCGGCCUGAGAGGGUGAACGGCCACACUGGAACUGAGACACGGUCCAGACUCCUACGGGAGGCAGCAGUGGGGAAUAUUGGACAAUGGGCGCAAGCCUGAUCCAGCAACGCCGCGUGGAGGAUGAAGGCCUUCGGGUUGUAAACUCCUGUUAGGGGGAACGAAGGGUCACGGGUUAACAGCCGGUGACCUUGACGGUACCUCCAGAGGAAGCCCCGGCUAACUCUGUG
rnacentral:rRNA from 1 species